GACCACCAUUACCAACGCAGUCUCCAAGCAAAUGCGUGUCCUGAAUUUAUACGGUAGCAAUUUAUAGCAAUUGCUAUUGGAUGUGUGUAUGGUUCAUAUUUGUGACAUUCUAUACUUUGAUGUUUAGUAUUUUUGAGGAGUUCCGCUCAAACUUAGGUGUGCUUAAUGAGCUGUCUGGGCGGAUGUGCUGGCAGGCAUUGGAGUCUCUAUAACUAAACAAACCUUUUUUUUUGGAAUAAAGACUUAAAUAUAUUUGGAAAUUUAGAGUUUUCUUUGAUAAAUUCACGUUUUUUCAUAAAGAA